rnacentral:rRNA from 1 species
UAAGGAAUAUUGCUCAAUGGGAGAAAUCCUGAAGCAGCAACGCCGCGUGGAGGAUGAAGGGUCUAUGACUUGUAAACCCCUGUAAAGAAGGAAAAAAUUCCCAUUAGAUGGGAGAUGAUGGUACUUCUGGAGUAAGCCCCGGCUAACUACGUGCCAGCAGCCGCGGUAAUACGUAGGGGGCAAGCGUUGUCCGGAUUUACUGGGUGUAAAGGGUGCUCAGGCGGAUUUGUAAGUCAGAGGUGAAAUCUUACAGCUUAACUGUGAAACUGCCUUUGAUACUUUUAUUCUUGAGUUCGGGAGAGAGAGACGGAAUUCCAGGUGUAGUGGUGAAAUACGUAGAUAUCUGGAAGAACACCAGUUGCGAAGGCGGUCUCUUGGUCCGACACUGACGCUGAGGCGCGAAAGCGUGGGGAGCAAACA